rnacentral:rRNA from 1 species
GCCUAGGGCCAUACCACCCUGAGAACACCCGAUCUCGGAAGCUUAAUCGGGGUCGGGCCCGGUUAGUACUUGGCUGGGAGACUGCCCGGGAAUAGCGGGUGCUGUA